rnacentral:rRNA from 1 species
GUCUAUGGCCAUGCCACCCUCAACAAGCCGGAUCCCAUCUGAUCUCGGAAACUAAGCAGGGUCGAGCCUGGUUAGUACGUGGAUGAGAGACCACUUAGGAGCACCAGGUGCUGUAGGCA